ensembl:lncRNA novel transcript, sense intronic to STX12
ACAUUCUGCUCAGCCCCUGGCUCCUCGGAAAUCAGCAACUUUCAAUUAAGGGAAGUGGAGAGUGCAUGUGUUUGGGUGACUUCAUACACAGUUCUUCCUGUAAUGAAUUCGGAAAUCAGACACAAUGACUGGUAUUUGAAAGGUGGGAUGACUUCAUUUUAAUAAAGAGAAUUCACCAACAGCA